AUGCUGGCUUCCACAGCACAUACACUAAAAUUGGAAUGAUACAGAGAAGAUUAGCGUGGCCCAUG
rnacentral:snRNA from 1 species